AAGUCAGAUGUGAAAGACCCGGGGCGUCAACCUCGGAAUUGCAUUUGUAAACUAGGCAGACUAGAGUACUGUAGAGGGGGGUAGGAAUUUCAGGUGUAGCGGUGAAAUGCGUAGAGAUCUGAAGGAAUACCGGUGGCGAAGGCGGCCCCCUCGGACAGAUACUGACACUCAGAUGCGAAAGCGUGGGGAGCAAACAGGAUUAGAUACCCUGGUAG
rnacentral:rRNA from 1 species